ensembl:lncRNA
GUCGGCUCGUGGGAAGACGGGGAUGGAUGAGGAGGAGGGUGCGUGUUGUCACAGUUUGGCUGGUAGCCAAAAAAGUGAGCGACGAAAAGGUUAAACCGCUGCUGUCGCGACGCACCGAUGCCACUUCGCCGGGCAGGGAAGUUGGUCAGAGUGACUCGGGAGCUGGAAGCCAUGCAGGAACAAUACUCACAGCCUGGCAAGGCGGGCACAUGGGCAGCCAAUCAGGUACGCGAUGCCUCCUCAACCCCGGCUGAAUGGCAUCGGCCCUCCCCUUGCUCUGCUCGCUCUCCCCUUUUUCCCCCCACCGCCACCGCUCCGCAGCUGCCCGGGAUGAUUUUAUAAACAUUUUGCCAGCAGAUCAAUAGCUGUAUUGAUCAACCAUUGUGAGAGUGAUCUGUCUAAAACCCCCAGCAGCCUGCAGCUCCGAGAGAGGGAGGAGCGAAAGAGAGAGAGAGAGAGAGAGGCUGCAGAGAGGAUGAAGAAAGGGAAAGAGUCAGAGAGCGCAAGAGAGAAGAGAGAGAGGAAAAGAGAGAGAGAGAGAGAGAGAGAGAGGCUGUAGCCACAGAGAGAGAAAGAGGUAGUGGGGAGAGAAGGGGAGAGCCAGAUGGAAAGAGAGAGCUGAAGGUGAGCAAGUGGACGCGAGGAACGGGAGCGGCGGCAGAAACCGCAUUCGCGCCGAAACACAUUCUAAUCGCUUUCUCGUUAAGCGAGCGGAGGGAGGGGCGGCUAAUGAGUUUCGCUGAAAAUGCCUACGGUUGGUUGAGACACAGCCUCGUUCUGGAAAAAUGUCAGACGACGACGGCUUGCGGACGAGAAGGCCCUGAAAGGGACUUAAUUCGUAACGGAAUUUGGACACGUUCGAAAAUUAGGACUAUUGUGUUGAGGAUACAUCGACGUGGGAUUUUGUACAAUUUACCAUGGAUCACAAUGGAUCAAAAAAAAAAAAUGUGGAUAUCGCUAUGAAACCGGUGGACACAACGAGACCUCUGGAGGAAUUUACUCGCACGGAGUCCUCUAGGUGUGUUUGGAUAUUUGGGACAAAUUCCCAACCAAGGAAGCAUUCGGAUACGAUGGCUACGUGAAACUGGAGUUGCCGAGCACAACGGCGGUAAACAAUAGAUCUCUUGAUCGGGGAGAUCAGGCCUGGCCUGCCACUCUUGCCAUCACGUGGCUGAGACGAGAGUGUGUGUUUGUGUAUGUGUGUGUGUGUUGGGGGGGGCAGAGGAGUCACGCCAGAGAGCCCAUGGGAGGCCUGUAUCGAUCCAGCUCUGGGAGUAGUCCUGCUUCGUAGCGCGCUUUGUGAAGAAUUCACGUCUGGACAUAACAUAGUGAAUUGAUACAAGACUGGGAAGUAACCUCUGAUUGGUCAACGUAUGAAUUCUGAAGACUAAAAGAGAGCAGUGUGGCCUAAGAGACUACGUACGCACACACGCACAUAAUUCGACUCCGUAUAUCUCACUGACGCUGUGCCAUAGAACGCAUGUUAAUAAUAACCAGCGCUCCUAUAUUACUGACUAUUAGAUAUCGCGGAUGAGUAUUUAUAUCCCGUAGUAAAAAAAAAAAACCCAAACAAACCAUAAAACGUUUUAUUUAUUUAUUUAUUUAUUUAUUUUAUACACAGAAAUGAUUUUAUCUGUGAUUUGCGUUUCGCACAGUUGACUCGACACAUCAUUAACGUGUCUGUUGAAUAGAUCCACGGCAGAUUUAGCGUCUAAGGACUGAAUAAUGAGUACGGGGAAAUCAAUUAAUUGUUUCAUAAACCUUAACUAGUCAAUAAAUUAAGGCAAUUAGUACGAACAUAAAGGAGACGGCAACACGAGGCUCCCUCGAGACACGGACGCGUUCGUGCUUCAAAAGGCAGCGGGUGUUGUGUUAGCAGACUGAGAAUGUGCCACAGAUACGGAGAGGGUAAAAGAAAGAUUAAAAAAAAAAAAACAGGAAGUGAAGAGGAAGGAAGACUAUACGUGUACGUGUGUAAGCAUUACGUACACCUUUCCAAUUGAGCCGGAGUGAUCGGACGAGCAAUCGUCACACAUACCGUAUACUCGUCCUCGAACCAAAUACUUCACCUAGUGUAACUCUUCCUAAUCGUAUUCCUACGACAAAUCCGCUUCUAACGGAAGUCGAAGGAACUCUGUCAAUACGUCCUUGUAAAUGUGACUCUAAAUCUGUAGAAUUGAGAAGCCUGUGCGGUGAUGUCAACGCUACCUGCGCAGUUAUGAGUCUCUGACGGUGUAGGGAUACGACAAAAUCUUCUGAAAAGUUAACCGGAACUACUUUUUAGCGAAUCGCUCCGGUGUUAGAAAUGUGCAUGAAAGUCCAUUGGAACAGUUUCGGGAUCAUUUCUCUCGUAUACGUCUCGUCUGAACACCUUUAUUACUCAAGCGGAAGAGCGGGGGGUUUAAACUUGCGUUAAAGAGUCGCAUAUUUGAAACGUUUGAACACGUGGAUUGAGUUCCGCAGAGUUUGAGGUUUAACAGGUUUUCUGUUCUUUACCGUUAAGUCGCUCGUUAUUUAUUAUAGAGACACGGAUAAUCGGGUCGGUGCAGUUUUCUGUAAGGAGAUGUUUAUCGAACGUUUAUGGGAGGAGUCUCCAGUGUCAGCACUUUCAGAGUUAAAGUUGGAGCUAAGUUUUCCGACAUCUUCAGGACAGAGGACUUCGCACUUUUUGCGGUCUCUUGGUAACAUAACAAGCCGCGUU